UUUUCUCCUCUAGCUCAUUUGUCUUCGUUCCCAUUUCGAGCGGCGAGUGGUUGAAGGCAGAGAGCCAUGGCGGCUGGAGAUCUCACUCACUGAUCUCUCGAGGUCGAGCCGGUGCUUGGGUGUCUGGUGUCCCCCCUGGCCCCGCCCGGCUUGCUUGUCCUCAAGCGCUCGCAGAGGAAGAGGCGAUCCCUGUGGUGAUCCGGCUGCGCUGUCGUCUCUGCUUCGCUUGAUUUCGCGGCGCUCCUCCCCAUUCCCAUGUGUUAGUCUGCGAGCCCUGUGUCCCCCUCCUCAUCCACCAUCCAUCCUGUGGUUGAUUUUAAUGGACUAAAAAGGAGUACGUCCGAGGUUUUUGCGUUCAUAGGGAAAGGAGAAGAAGAGGACAAAGGGGAAACACGAGGAGUGGCUGUCAGGUGUUUUUUAUGUCUGUUUGGGUGUCGGGCGAGGGGGGCAGUUGAAUGAGAUACCCAUCAGCGAGCAGCGGACAUUCAUUGUUCUGAACAUACAACCGCAACUAUUUGAUUGGCUCAAAAAUUUGAAUGAAUCCGAAUUGGUUUUCAGCUGACUGUCCAAUAGACAGCUCCUUGUGAAUUUGACGCUAUAAUUCAUAGUGGGUUCUUUUAGUGUAAUUACUUCAUCUUAUCAUUGAAUUUAUUGUGUAUUUUGUAUAGGAUUUCUUAGUGUAAUUAAGAUAUCUUAUUAGUGUAAUUAUACUAGUGUAUUUUUACUCUAUCUCUGUGAUUUUGAUUUACAUUGUAAAUUCUCAUGGAAUUUUAGUGUGGUAUCACUGUAA